rnacentral:rRNA from 1 species
GGGGAAUUUUCCGCAAUGGGCGAAAGCCUGACGGAGCAAUACCGCGUGAGGGAGGAAGGCUCUUGGGUCGUAAACCUCUUUUCUCAGGGAAGAAAAAAAUGACGGUACCUGAGGAAUAAGCAUCGGCUAACUCCGUGCCAGCAGCCGCGGUAAUACGGAGGAUGCAAGCGUUAUCCGGAAUGAUUGGGCGUAAAGCGUCCGCAGGUGGCAAUGUAAGUCUGCUGUUAAAGAGUGAGGCUCAACCUCAUAAGAGCAGUGGAAACUACAUAGCUAGAGUACGUUCGGGGCAGAGGGAAUUCCUGGUGUAGCGGUGAAAUGCGUAGAGAUCAGGAAGAACACCGGUGGCGAAGGCGCUCUGCUAGGCCGUAACUGACACUGAGGGACGAAAGCUAGGGGAGCGAAUGGGAUUAGAUACCCCAGUAGUCCUAGCCGUAAACGAUGGAUACUAGGCGUGGCUUGUAUCGACCCGAGCCGUGCCGUAGCUAACGCGUUAAGUAUCCCGCCUGGGGAGUACGCCGGCAACGGUGAAACUCAAAGGAAUUGACGGGGGCCCGCACAAGCGGUGGAGUAUGUGGUUUAAUUCGAUGCAACGCGAAGAACCUUACCAAGGCUUGACAUGUCGCGAAUCUUGAUGAAAGUUGAGAGUGCCUUCGGGAGCGCGAACACAGGUGGUGCAUGGCUGUCGUCAGCUCGUGUCGUGAGAUGUUGGGUUAAGUCCCGCAACGAGCGCAACCCUCGUUUUUAGUUGCCAGCAUUAAGUUGGGCACUCUAGAGAGACUGCCGGUGACAAACCGGAGGAAGGUGGGGAUGACGUCAAGUCAGCAUGCCCCUUACGCCUUGGGCUACACACGUACUACAAUGCUCCGGACAGAGGGCAGCAAGCCAGCGAUGGCAAGCAAAUCCCGUAAACCGGAGCUCAGUUCAGAUCGCAGGCUGCAACUCGCCUGCGUGAAGGAGGAAUCGCUAGUAAUUGCAGGUCAGCAUACUGCAGUGAAUUCGUUCCCGGGCCUUGUACACACCGCCCGUCACACCAUGGAAGCUGGUAGUGCCCGAAGUCAUUACUCCAACCUUUCGGGGGGGAGGAUGCCUAAGGCAGGACUGGUGACUGGGGUGAAGUCGUAACAAGGUAGCCGUACCGGAAGGUGUGGCUGGAUCACCUCCUU